rnacentral:misc_RNA from 1 species
UUGUUUUGUUAUGAUAUGCAUACGUUCUACACACAGGGUUUGUUUGGGGCACGAGGCCCACGGUUCACGGUGCGUGUGGUGUAAAGCGGCGCGGGGCCGCGUUCACGAAUGAUCCUUCCGCAGGUUCACCUACGGAAA